GAGUUUGAUCAUGGCUCAGAUUGAACGCUGGCGGCAUGCCUUACACAUGCAAGUCGAACGGCAGCAUGAUCUAGCUUGCUAGAUUGAUGGCGAGUGGCGAACGGGUGAGUAAUACAUCGGAACGUGCCCUGUAGUGGGGGAUAACUAGUCGAAAGAUUAGCUAAUACCGCAUACGACCUGAGGGUGAAGGUGGGGGACCGCAAGGCCUCAUGCUAUAGGAGCGGCCGAUGUCUGAUUAGCUAGUUGGUGGGGUAAAGGCCCACCAAGGCGACGAUCAGUAGCUGGUCUGAGAGGACGAUCAGCCACACUGGGACUGAGACACGGCCCAGACUCCUACGGGAGGCAGCAGUGGGGAAUUUUGGACAAUGGGCGAAAGCCUGAUCCAGCAAUGCCGCGUGUGUG
rnacentral:rRNA from 1 species